CGGUGGGACAGAUGAUUGGGGUGAAGUCGUAACAAGGUAGCCGUAUCGGAAGGUGCGGCUGGAUCACCUCCUUUCUAAGGA
rnacentral:rRNA from 1 species